ACUCUCAUCCCUGCGAUACCAGAACACUAGAGGCCUGAACUUUGGCACACCACUUUUGAAAGAAAAGAGUCCAGGGAAACAACAGGAUUAAAAGUGUUUCUGCUCCUUGGGGAUAUAGAAAAAGAGAAAUGUAUAACGCCUCUCCUUCUGAUCCACUCACCACAAACCACUAAUUGACUACCUUGGGACAGAGUCACAUGGAAUUUGGUUUCAGCUCACUGAGUGUGCUUUGUGCAGAUUUCUGUGAAGAUAAGUAAUUGCUAAUGUCAUCUAUAAAACAGAAUGGGAACAUCUGAGGCCAGUUUCUCAUCUCAGCCAUGUUUUUCAAAAGAUGCAAGUCAUUGUCGUGUCUUUUAUUAGUCCCAAGGACGGUUGAUUUCAUUUAAGAUGUUGUUUGUCUGCUGCAAUCAUCAACAGCUGAUAACAUCUCGCUCAUUUUAAAAGCCAUCUCCCAGUAUUAAUGUGCUCUGCACAUCCUGUUGAAUAUUUAUAUUUGAUCAGAAGACAUUGACAUACAGGUUUCACUUGAUCCUAUUGCCUGGGAUGUCUUAAAAAGUUAUUUUCUAUACUUUUUAUAUAAGAAUCUAUCUGAUUCUAAUCAUACCCUUUGAUAAAUUUCCUUGGUUCAUUUGAUUCAUUUUUACUGGAGUCUCUUCUUAUGGAAGUUGCCAGAAAGAGCAAUGGAUUUUGAAACAGAAAAGUGAAUUCAAUCAUACCUCUCUUUCUUAUUAAAGGCAAA